UGGGAACGUGCCCUUCAGUUCGGAACAACCCAGGGAAACUUGGGCUAAUACCGGAUACGUCCGUAAGGAGAAAGAUUUAUCGCUGAAGGAUCGGCCCGCGUCUGAUUAGCUAGUUGGUGGGGUAAUGGCCCACCAAGGCUACGAUCAGUAGCUGGUCUGAGAGGAUGAUCAGCCACACUGGGACUGAGACACGGCCCAGACUCCUACGGGAGGCAG
rnacentral:rRNA from 1 species